AGUGAAUAGAUACCCGGGUAGUCCUAGCCGUAAACGAUACUCGCUAGGUGUCGGCCACGGUGCGACCGUUGUCGGUGCCGUAGGGAAAGCCGUGAAGCGAGCCACCUGGGAAGUACGGCCGCAAGGCUGAAACUUAAAGGAAUUGGCGGGGGAGCACCACAACGGGUGGAGCUUGCGGUUUAAUUGGAUUCAACGCCGGAAAUCUUACCGGGACCGACAGCGAUAUGAAGGCCAGGCUGAAGACUUUGCCGGAUUAGCUGAGAGGUGGUGCAUGGCCGUCGUCAGUUCGUACUGUGAAAGCAUCCUGUUAAGUCAGGCAACGAGCGAGACCCACGCCCACAGUUGCCAGCGUACUCUCCGGAGUGACGGGUACACUGUGGGGACCGCCGCUGCUAAAGCGGAGGAAGGAAUGGGCAACGGUAGGUCAGUAUGCCCCGAAUAUCCCGGGCUACGCGCGAGCUACAAUGGUUGGAACAAUGGGUAUCUACCCCGAAAGGGGAUGGAAAUCUCCUAAAUCCAAUCUUAGUUCGGAUUGAGGGCUGCAACUCGCCCUC
rnacentral:rRNA from 1 species